UUUGGGUGGCUUCCCUAGGUGCUGUGCCGGAAAGGGGGCCGCCCUCUCGCCCGUCACGUCAACGCACGUUCGUGUGGAACCUGGCGCUAAACCAUUCGUAGACGACCUGCUUCUGGGUCGGGGUUUCGUACGUAGCAGAGCAGCUCCCUCGCUGCGAUCUAUUGAAAGUCAGCCCUCGACACAAGGGUUUGUCUCUCGCGCUCUCGGCUCGGCCGGGCGGGCGGCAUCGCUCGCUCGCUCGCUCGCUCGCUCGGCCGGUAGGUCUCGGUAUCUCUUCUCUUCCUCCGUCUCCCGACGACGGCGCCUUCCGCGGUUCUUCUCCCACCCUCCGGGGGAGGGCGCGCACCCGGCCUCCGCCGCCGACGCGGCCGACCUCCCUCCGGCCCUGGCCAAGCCGGAGCGCGAGGUGUCGGCGACGAGGGUUCCCUGACCACCCUGGCGAACAGGACAGGACGGAGGCGAGAAUCAAAGGCACGGCCAGAAAGAGGAGUUUGAGGUGUGGGACUGCUAUGCCCCGGCACAGUCAGCUGGACUGACUGACUGCCCUCCUUCUCGAGGCGGGACGCAAUCACGCAUACAAACAAAAGACUACCUCUUUCCAGCAGAAGAAGAUGGCCCUUCCUUCCUCUUCCUCUUGACUCACAGGUGGUACUCUAUCUACCUGCUUCCCAGCCCACCUGAGCCACCCCCCCCCCUUCACUUUACGCUCAAUUACAAUAAAUAAAUGAAUGACUACGAA